AGGGUUCGAUUCUGGCUCAGGAUGAACGCUGGCGGCGUGCCUAACACAUGCAAGUCGAACGGAACUUAUUGGUCAGAGGCUCGGUCAAAGAGCGGUAAGUUAGUGGCGGACGGGUGAGUAACGCGUGGGGAACCUGCCCUGUACCGGGGGAUAACGGAGGGAAGCUUCCGCUAAUACCGCAUAUGCGCACGAGUGCCGCAUGGCACGGUGUGGAAAACUCCGGUGGUACAGGAUGGACCCGCGUUGGAUUAGCUUGUUGGCGGGGUAACGGCCCACCAAGGCGACGAUCCAUAGCCGGCCUGAGAGGGUGGACGGCCACAUUGGGACUGAGACACGGCCCAGACUCCUACGGGAGGCAGCAGUGGGGGAUAUUGCACAAUGGGGGAAACCCUGAUUGCAGCGACGCCGCGUGAAGGAAGAAGUAUUUCGGUAUGUAAACUUCUAUCAGCAGGGAAGAUAAUGACGGUACCUGACUAAGAAGCCCCGGCUAACUACGUGCCAGCCGCUGC
rnacentral:rRNA from 1 species